UUAAUAUGUAGACCUCCAUGGAGC
rnacentral:siRNA from 1 species